rnacentral:tRNA from 1 species
UCCUUUGUGGCUCAGCUGGUAAAGAAUCCGCCUGCAAUGCGGGAGACCUGGGUUUGAUCCCUGGCUAGGGUU